rnacentral:lncRNA from 1 species
AGGCUUAGUUUUCUCGUAGAGAAACUUGCCUAGCCGGUGGUUCUCCUUGCAAAAAUCCUGAGGCCCUAGUUUUUCGCAAGAACGCCCACCUAGGUUCAGUUUUCUCAUCGAGUAUAAGCGCCUCCGACCCUUCAGGCGAGUAUAAGCGCCAAGCCGACCAUUUUCGCGGGGGAUUAUAAGCGCCCUCGGGGCCAUCUCCUCAAAAAGAAGGGAAAGGG